UGGGGAAUUUUGGACAAUUGGGCGAAAGCCUGAUCCAGCAAUGCCGCGUGUGUGAAGAAGGCCUUCGGGUUGUAAAGCACUUUUGUCCGGAAAGAAAUCCUUGGCUCUAAUACAGUCGGGGGAUGACGGUACCGGAAGAAUAAGCACCGGCUAACUACGUGCCAGCAGCCGCGGUAAUACGUAGGGUGCAAGCGUUAAUCGGAAUUACUGGGCGUAAAGCGUGCGCAGGCGGUUUGCUAAGACCGAUGUGAAAUCCCCGGGCUCAACCUGGGAACUGCAUUGGUGACUGGCAGGCUAGAGUAUGGCAGAGGGGGGUAGAAUUCCACGUGUAGCAGUGAAAUGCGUAGAGAUGUGGAGGAAUACCGAUGGCGAAGGCAGCCCCCUGGGCCAAUACUGACGCUCAUGCACGAAAGCGUGGGGAGCAAACAGGAUUAGAUACCCUGGUAGUCCACGCCCUAAACGAUGUCAACUAGUUGUUGGGGGAUUCAUUUUCCUUAGUAACGUAGCUAACGCGUGAAGUUGACCGCCUGGGGAGUACGGUCGCAAGAUUAAAACUCAAAUGAAUUGACGGGGUCAUAGCUGUUUCCU
rnacentral:rRNA from 1 species